UACGUAGGGGGCAAGCGUUGUCCGGAUUUAUUGGGCGUAAAGAGCGUGUAGGCGGCCAGGUAGGUCCGUUGUGAAAACUCGAGGCUCAACCUCGAGACGCCGAUGGAAACCAUCUGGCUAGAGUCCGGAAGAGGAGAGUGGAAUUCCCGGUGUAGCGGUGAAAUGCGCAGAUAUCGGGAAGAACACCCGUGGCUAAGGCGGCUCUCUAGUACGGUACUGACGCUGAGACGCGAAAGCGUGGGGAGCGAAUGGG
rnacentral:rRNA from 1 species